AUGACCUGGAGACGUAUAAUACAACUGCAGCAAAGCCAAAACUUGUCGUGGUUGCUAAUUGGAGAUCUUAAUGAAAUCUUAUAUCUUCAUGAAAAGGAUGGUGGGAACCCAAGGCCUAUACAAUACAUGCAGGCUUUUCAGGAGGUAAUUGAUGAUUUCCAACUGCAUGAUAUUGGGUAUACUGGAGAUCCGUUCACAUGGUACAGAGGAAGAAUAAGGUAUAGGCUGGACAGAGGCCUAGCAAAUGAUGAGUGGUCGGCUAUGUUCCCUAUUGCGUCUCUUGAGAAUAUGGAGUACAGUCACUCUGAUCACAGACCACUAUGUGUAGAUACUGAAUAUUACUCUCCAAACACUGGGGGUGGGAACAAUUUGCAGGUUAAACGCUUCGAGGCAAGAUGGCUGAGAUAG
rnacentral:rRNA from 1 species